UUAGAGUUUGUUCCUGGCUCAGGAUGAACGCUAGCGGCAGGCCUAACACAUGCAAGUCGAGGGGUAAUUCUGGUAGCAAUAUCGGAAACGACCGGCGCACGGGUGAGUAACGCGUAUGCAACCUGCCUCUAACUGGGGAAUAGCUUCCGGAAACGGAAAUUAAUGUCCCAUAAUAUCACGAAGACGCAUGUUUUUGUGAUUAAAGCUCCGGCGGUUAGAGAUGGGCAUGCGUGCCAUUAGCUAGUUGGUGAGGUAACGGCUCACCAAGGCUACGAUGGUUAGGGGGUCUGAGAGGAUGAUCCCCCACACUGGUACUGAGACACGGACCAGACUCCUACGGGAGGCAGCAGUGAGGAAUAUUGGGCAAUGGGCGCAAGCCUGACCCAGCCAUGCCGCGUGAAGGAUGAAGGCCCUAUGGGUUGUAAACUUCUUUUGUACGGGACGAAACCCCCGAUCGUGAUCGGGGCUGACUGUACUGUACGAAUAAGCAUCGGCUAACUCCGUGCCAGCAGCCGCGGUAAUACGGAGGAUGCAAGCGUUAUCCGGAUUCAUUGGGUUUAAAGGGUGCGUAGGCGGGAUAAUAAGUCAGUGGUGAAAGCCUGCGGCUUAACCGUAGAAUUGCCAUUGAUACUGUUAUUCUUGAGUACAGUUGAGGUGGGUGGAAUGUGUAAUGUAGCGGUGAAAUGCUUAGAUAUUACACAGAACACCGAUUGCGAAGGCAGCUCACUAAGCUGUUACUGACGCUGAGGCACGAAAGCGUGGGGAGCAAACAGGAUUAGAUACCCUGGUAGUCCACGCUGUAAACGAUGAUCACUCGUUGUUGGCGAUAUACCGUCAGCGACUAAGCAAAAGCAUUAAGUGAUCCACCUGGGGUGUACGACGGCAACGUUGAAACUCAAAGGAAUUGACGGGGGCCCGCACAAGCGGAGGAACAUGUGGUUCAAUUCGAUGAUACGCGAGGAACCUUACCUGGGCUUGAAAGGGGAACGACGUCCCGGGAAACCGGGAUUCUCUUCGGAGCGGUCUCCUAGGUGCUGCAUGGUUGUCGUCAGCUCGUGCCGUGAGGUGUCGGGUUAAGUCCCAUAACGAGCGCAACCCUUAUCGUUAGUUGCCAGCGGGUAAUGCCGGGGACUCUAACGAAACUGCCGGCGUAAGCCGUGAGGAAGGUGGGGAUGACGUCAAAUCAGCACGGCCCUUAUGUCCAGGGCUACACACGUGUUACAAUGGCCGGUACAAAGGGCAGCUACCUGGUGACAGGAUGCUAAUCUCUAAAACCGGUCUCAGUUCGGAUUGAAGUCUGCAACUCGACUUCAUGAAGCUGGAUUCGCUAGUAAUCGCGCAUCAGCAACGGCGCGGUGAAUACGAUCCCGGGCCUUGCACUCACCGCCCGUCA
rnacentral:rRNA from 1 species